UGUAAGGAGAAAGGCAAUAACUUCGAACUAUAGCUUCAUGCUUUCGUUGAGAACAUAGAUUCUACUGCCAGGAAGUAAUAAUGGCAGCAAAAUUGCAUUCCAUUGAUUGAAAAGAGCAUUGUAAGUAACUCUGUCUCCCCUGUUGAAUUAG